rnacentral:rRNA from 1 species
CAUGCAGUCGAGCGGAGAGAGGUAGCUUGCUACUGAUCUUAGCGGCGGACGGGUGAGUAAUGCUUAGGAAUCUGCCUAUUAGUGGGGGACAACAUUUCGAAAGGAAUGCUAAUACCGCAUACGUCCUACGGGAGAAAGCAGGGGAUCUUCGGACCUUGCGCUAAUAGAUGAGCCUAAGUCGGAUUAGCUAGUUGGUGGGGUAAAGGCCUACCAAGGCGACGAUCUGUAGCGGGUCUGAGAGGAUGAUCCGCCACACUGGGACUGAGACACGGCCCAGACUCCUACGGGAGGCAGCAGUGGGGAAUAUUGGACAAUGGGCGGAAGCCUGAUCCAGCCAUGCCGCGUGUGUGAAGAAGGCCUUAUGGUUGUAAAGCACUUUAAGCGAGGAGGAGGCUACUUUAGUUAAUACCUAGAGAUAGUGGACGUUACUCGCAGAAUAAGCACCGGCUAACUCUGUGCCAGCAGCCGCGGUAAUACAGAGGGUGCAAGCGUUAAUCGGAUUUACUGGGCGUAAAGCGCGCGUAGGCGGCUAAUUAAGUCAAAUGUGAAAUCCCCGAGCUUAACUUGGGAAUUGCAUUCGAUACUGGUUAGCUAGAGUGUGGGAGAGGAUGGUAGAAUUCCAGGUGUAGCGGUGAAAUGCGUAGAGAUCUGGAGGAAUACCGAUGGCGAAGGCAGCCAUCUGGCCUAACACUGACGCUGAGGUGCGAAAGCAUGGGGAGCAAACAGGAUUAGAUACCCUGGUAGUCCAUGCCGUAAACGAUGUCUACUAGCCGUUGGGGCCUUUGAGGCUUUAGUGGCGCAGCUAACGCGAUAAGUAGACCGCCUGGGGAGUACGGUCGCAAGACUAAAACUCAAAUGAAUUGACGGGGGCCCGCACAAGCGGUGGAGCAUGUGGUUUAAUUUCGAUGC